rnacentral:misc_RNA from 1 species
GAAAUGCGAUGAGUAAUGUGAAUUGCAGAAUUCAGUGAAUCAUCGAAUCUUUGAACGCACAUUGCGCCCGCCAGCACUCUGGCGGGCAUGCCUGUUCGAGCGUCAUUUCAACCCUCAGAACCCCUUGCGGGAUCUGGCGUUGGGGAUUGGCAUCCAGCCAGCCCCGAAAUCUAGUGGCGGUCCCUCCGCGACCUCCCCUGUGCAGUAGCGAUACCUCGCAGCGGGACAGCGGUCUGACCACGCCGUAAAACCCCCAACUUCUCAAGGUUGACCUCGAAUCAGGUAGGAAUACCCGCUGAACGUAAGCA